GGCUGUUUUUUUUUUAUAGAACAUGGUCACAUUGCGAAGAGUGCUGAUACGUUUAUGGUCGUAUGACACUGCACUUCAAGACCAAUCAAGUCUGCCAGACAGAGAAAAUAUAAUAGUCAUUCUAAAUUGUCACAAAUAGUGUCACAUGUCGCAGCUCUUGAACUGAGCCCCGUAAGACAGUAGACUAGAUAUAAUGACGUCUUUCAGAUUAGAAAGGUGACUAAGUACGUUGUUAUACGACAUGACUCAAAGUGCUUAAUAUGUUUAUCUCUUAAAAUAUUUAUUUCAGCCUAGAUUGUAUUAAUACAUAUUUACAAUAAGCCAAACUUAAACUCUAGCGCUUAAAUAUGUACUUAGAAUGCACCUAAUAAAAUCACACAUGUUCAUUUCUGAAAUGAAAAGCA